rnacentral:rRNA from 1 species
AGCCUGAUCCAGCCAUGCCGCGUGUGUGAAGAAGGCCUUCGGGUUGUAAAGCUCUUUCGGACGGAACGAAAUCGCGCGGGCUAAUAUCCCGCGUGGAUGACGGUACCGUAAGAAGAAGCACCGGCUAACUACGUGCCAGCAGCCGCGGUAAUACGUAGGGUGCGAGCGUUAAUCGGAAUUACUGGGCGUAAAGUGUGCGCAGGCGGCCGCGCAAGUCGAGUGUGAAAGCCCCGGGCUUAACUUGGGAAUUGCGCUCGAAACUACGUGGCUGGAGUGUGGCAGAGGAAGGUGGAAUUCCACGUGUAGCGGUGAAAUGCGUAGAGAUGUGGAGGAACACCGAUGGCGAAGGCAGCCUUCUGGGCCAAUACUGACGCUCAUGCACGAAAGCGUGGGGAGCAAACAGGAUUAGAUACCCUGGUAGUCCACGCCCUAAACGAUGAUGACUAGUUGUUGGAGGAGUUAAAUCCUUUAGUAACGCAGCUAACGCGUGAAGUCAUCCGCCUGGGGAGUACGGUCGCAAGAUUAAAACUCAAA